rnacentral:rRNA from 1 species
UGAGCCAAGUUUAGGGUUUUCUCAAAACCCAAGCAGUAUUGAACUGAAGAGUUUGAUCAUGGCUCAGAUUGAACGCUGGCGGCAGGCCUAACACAUGCAAGUCGAGCGGAUGAAGGGAGCUUGCUCCUGGAUUCAGCGGCGGACGGGUGAGUAA